rnacentral:tRNA from 1 species
GCAGGGUUAGUUUAAUGGUAGAAUGGACGCUUCCCAAGCCUCAGACGCGGGUUCGAUUCCCGUACCCUGCUCCA